GGUUAAGUGACUAAGCGUACACGGUGGAUGCCUUGGCAGUCAGAGGCGAUGAAGGACGUACUAACCUGCGAAAAGCUGUGGGAAGCCGGUAAGAGGCGUUAGACCCGCAGAUAUCCGAAUGGGGAAACCCAGUGCAUUUAUGCACUAUCCCAGCAUGAAUACAUAGUGUUGGGAGGCAAACCGGGAGAACUGAAACAUCUAAGUACCCCGAGGAAAAGAAAUCAACCGAGAUUCCGUUAGUAGCGGCGAGCGAACGCGGAUUAGCCCUUAAGCUAAAUUGGUGUUAGUGGAAUACUCUGGAAAGGGUAGCGAUACAGGGUGAUAGCCCCGUACACGACAAUGCCUUUAUAGUGAAAACGAGUAGGACGGGACACGUGGUAUCCUGUUUGAACAUGGGGGGACCAUCCUCCAAGGCUAAAUACUCCUGACUGACCGAUAGUGAACCAGUACCGUGAGGGAAAGGCGAAAAGAACCCUUGUAAAGGGAGUGAAAUAGAACCUGAAACCGUGUACGUACAAGCAGUGGGAGCCCCUUCGUGGGGUGACUGCGUACCUUUUGUAUAAUGGGUCAGCGACUUACAUUCUGUAGCGAGGUUAACCGAAUAGGGGAGCCGUAGGGAAACCGAGUCUUAACUGGGCGAAUAGUUGCAGGGUGUAGACCCGAAACCGGGCGAUCUAUCCAUGAGCAGGUUGAAGGUUGGGUAACACUAACUGGAGGACCGAACCCACUACUGUUGAAAAAGUAGGGGAUGACUUGUGGAUCGGAGUGAAAGGCUAAUCAAGCUCGGAGAUAUCUGGUUCUCCUCGAAAGCUAUUUAGGUAGCGCCUCGAGCGAAUACCAUUGGGGGUAGAGCACUGUUUGGGCUAGGGGGUCAUCCCGACUUACCAACCCCAUGCAAACUCCGAAUACCAAUGAGUACUACUCGGGAGACACACGGCGGGUGCUAACGUCCGUCGUGAAAAGGGAAACAACCCAGACCGCCAGCUAAGGUCCCAAAGUAAUGAUUAAGUGGAAAACGAUGUGGGAAGGCAUAGACAGCUAGGAGGUUGGCUUAGAAGCAGCCACCCUUUAAAGAAAGCGUAAUAGCUCACUAGUCGAGUCGGCCUGCGCGGAAGAUGUAACGGGGCUAAAUCAUUCACCGAAGCUGCGGACUUGUGCUUGCACAAGUGGUAGAGGAGCGUUCUGUAAGCCUGUGAAGGUUAUCCGGGAGGAUGGCUGGAGGUAUCAGAAGUGCGAAUGCUGACAUGAGUAACGAUAAGGGGAGUGAAAAACUUCCCCGCCGAAAGACCAAGGGUUCCUAUCCCAUGCUAAUCAGGGUAGGGUGAGUCGGCCCCUAAGGCGAGGCUGAAAGGCGUAGUCGAUGGGAAACAGGUUAAUAUUCCUGUACCGGCCAAUACUGCGAUGGGGGGACGGAGAAAGCUAGGCAGGCGCGGCGUUGGUAGUCCGCGUGAAAGUAUGUAGGUUGAGCGUUUAGGAAAAUCCGGAUGCUUAAGACUGAGAUACGAGACGAGACUCUACGGAGUCGAAGCUGUUAACGCUAUGCUUCCAGGAAAAGCCUCUAAGCUUCAGGUAUUGGUGACCGUACCCUAAACCGACACAGGUGGUCAGGUAGAGCAUACCAAGGCGCUUGAGAGAACUCGGCUGAAGGAACUAGGCAAAAUAGUACCGUAACUUCGGGAGAAGGUACGCUCUUUGUUGUGAAGGACUUGCUCCGUAAGCAAUAGAGAGUCGCAGUGACCAGCUGGCUGCAACUGUUUAUUAAAAACACAGCACUGUGCAAACUCGUAAGAGGACGUAUACGGUGUGACACCUGCCCGGUGCCGGAAGGUUAAUUGAUGGGGUUAGCGCAAGCGAAGCUCUUGAUCGAAGCCCCGGUAAACGGCGGCCGUAACUAUAACGGUCCUAAGGUAGCGAAAUUCCUUGUCGGGUAAGUUCCGACCUGCACGAAUGGUGUAAUGAUGGCCAGGCUGUCUCCAGCCGAGACUCAGUGAAAUUGAAAUUGCGGUGAAGAUGCCGUAUACCCGCGGCUAGACGGAAAGACCCCGUGAACCUUUACUAUAGCUUGGCACUGAACAUUGACCCUACAUGUGUAGGAUAGGUGGGAGGCUUUGAAGCUGGAACGCUAGUUCUGGUGGAGCCGUCCUUGAAAUACCACCCUUGUAUGUUUGAUGUUCUAACGUAGGCCCGUGAAUCCGGGUUGCGGACAGUGUCUGGUGGGUAGUUUGACUGGGGCGGUCUCCUCCUAAAGAGUAACGGAGGAGCACGAAGGUUGGCUAAGUACGGUCGGACAUCGUACGGUUAGUGUAAUGGUAGAAGCCAGCUUAACUGCGAGACAGACACGUCGAGCAGGUACGAAAGUAGGUCAUAGUGAUCCGGUGGUUCUGUAUGGAAGGGCCAUCGCUCAACGGAUAAAAGGUACUCCGGGGAUAACAGGCUGAUACCGCCCAAGAGUUCAUAUCGACGGCGGUGUUUGGCACCUCGAUGUCGGCUCAUCACAUCCUGGGGCUGAAGUCGGUCCCAAGGGUAUGGCUGUUCGCCAUUUAAAGUGGUACGCGAGCUGGGUUUAGAACGUCGUGAGACAGUUCGGUCCCUAUCUGCCGUGGGCGUUGGAUGAUUGAGUGGAGUUGCUCCUAGUACGAGAGGACCGGAGUGAACGAACCGCUGGUGUUCGGGUUGUCAUGCCAAUGGCACUGCCCGGUAGCUAUGUUCGGAACGGAUAACCGCUGAAAGCAUCUAAGCGGGAAGCCGGCCACAAGAUGAGUCAUCCCUUAGACUUCGAGUCUACUAAAGGGUCGUUGGAGACCACAACGUUGAUAGGUGAGGUGUGGAAGCGUGGUGACACGUUAAGCUAACUCAUACUAAUUGCCCGAGAGGCUUAACCAU
rnacentral:rRNA from 1 species